rnacentral:misc_RNA from 1 species
UGUCGUCCCCGAGGGCACUCAAGGCGAGACGCGCUGAUGCGCGCUCGAACCAGAAGCACCCGUAGAUCUGACGCUUGAAGUACUCAGUCGGCAGCAUGAAGUCCGGGUGCUCCUUGUGCGCCCCCGAUGUCUGCCACUGCCAGUCGAGC